rnacentral:misc_RNA from 1 species
GUUCCAUUGGCUCUGGUGCUU